AAAAGGAAAUCGGUGAUUCACAAAUUCAUGCUACAGUAACUACAGUUGCCGAGAUCAAUGACUCACAAAUUUAUGAUACAGAUGCCAGGGUCAACGAGGCACAAAAUCAUGAUGCAGCUGCUGAGGUCAAUGUCUUACUAAUUCAUAAUUCUGAUAAUGAGGUUAAUGACUCACAAGUUCAUAACAAUGCUGAUGUGGUCAAUGACCCACAAGUUCGUAAUCUCACUGAUGUGGUCAAUGACUCAGAGGUUCAGAAUGCUACCAAUGAGGUCAAUGACUCACAAAGUAAUCAGACACCUGAUGAAGUAAACGGCUCGCAAAUUCAUCAUGCGGUGAAGGGAGUCAAUGAAAAAAAGAAUCUUGAUGGAGCUGACAAGGUCAGUGGUUCACAACUGGCUCAUGUCAUUAACGAAAGUAAUCCGCAAACAGCCAAGCAGGCACUGGAGGUUGUUCCACAGUCAUCCCUUGAAACUAGCGAGGAUUUUGCACAGCAGGGUGAUAAAGCAGUCUUGGUAUAAAAAACACUAUCAUGCAUCUUUAUAGAGGUUACCUGAGAUUGAAUCUGCAGAGAGAGGUGGACCUCUUGAAGGAAAAUUUUAUCGUGUAAAUGCAGUCUUGAGUCUUCUGCAGCUUAUUAAUUUAGUUUUCACCGACACAAAAUUAAAACAUAAUUUAAGCAGAGAUGGAGGAGUAAUGUUCUAGAGAUACUUAGAGUUGACAGGCUAUUUAUUUGAUGUUUUGCUAAAAUAGGCUUUAUUCUUAAUGUGAAUUCCAUGAAUAUAUCCGGUGUACUUGAAUCAGAGUUGCAGUUUUUCUACAAUAUUAGGAAUGCAGUAAGCUAUGGCAGUUUUAAUGACUUGUUCAUAGAAUUUAGUGACAUUAUAGAACUUGGUUUACUGCAACCCUUAAUUGGGUGGAGUUUCACUUUUGCUGAGGA